CUCGCCACCGGAUCGCAAACGGAGCCCCGUCGUGGUCUCCAUCUCGACCCGGGACGAGACGAAAUGUGGCCGCCUCGCGGCUGAAUCGCAAU
rnacentral:ncRNA from 1 species